rnacentral:piRNA from 1 species
UGGGAUCAAUGAUAACGGCACAACAGA